rnacentral:rRNA from 1 species
UACGGGGGGGGUAAGCGUUGUUCGGAAUUACUGGGCGUAAAGGGCUCGUAGGCGGCCAACUAAGUCAGACGUGAAAUCCCUCAGCUUAACUGGGGAACUGCGUCUGAUACUGGAUGGCUUGGAUCCGGGAGAGGGAUGCGGAAUUCCAGGUGUAGCGGUGAAAUGCGUAGAUAUCUGGAGGAACACCGGUGGCGAAGGCGGCAUCCUGGACCGGUAUUGACGCUGAUGCGCGAAAGCCAGGGGAGCAAACGGG